GUUUUUUGUCAUUUUUAUUGCAUUUUAUAAAUCUCAGAGCAAAGACCCACUAAGCUCACUGAGAAAGCCUCGUUUCUUGGGAUAGCAUCAUGCAGGGACACAGUAAUGCACAAGACAAAUAAUUGGAAAAUGCUCUUCAGCCUUAAAUCACGUACCUGGAAAUAAGAAGGUAAUUUUUAGUUACAGGAAAAUAUCUGCUUGCUAUUUAAUUUGUCCUUAAAUUACAUCCUCUUGGUUUAAGAACUCCUUAAAAGAUUAUUCAAUUCAUUUUUCAGUCUCUUUUUUCACUAAGUGAAAGAAUUGAUUUCUAGAUGAUUUUUAAAGAUUUUUUUCCUCCUCUUCCUACUUUAUGAAGCCGUUUGUAACAUCAAACGGCAAAAAACUCUCACAUGAAGAAACUGAGGUGGCAGGUGAAGGAUUAUUAGAGUUGUAAUUAUGUGAGAGAGGUUUUUGAAAACAGAGUGUAACUGGAUGUAAAUUCUGGGACAGUUUUCUUCGUCUUACUGUAGGAAAUAAGAAAAGGAAGCCACAACAGUUCUGAGAACAGAAGAUUUUAAUUUGUUUUUCAAUUACUGAAGGUUUUGAUACCAGUAAAUGUACAGAGCAUGUUUUUUUGACUUAUUCUGAUUAAUAAGAAUUGCAACAGACCUGCUCAGUAUAGUGGGAAAGGUCAGUGGCAAUUUUUGAAAAGAAGGCCUUGGAAACACAUUGGCCUUACAAAACAGAGUUAUGCAAAACUGCUAGUCUUAUUUUCCUCCAUUUUUUGCUUUGCACUUCAGCUUUCUGAUUCUCCUGUGUUCAUUACCUGCAGUAUUGUGUGGACCCAUUCGAACAAAUUCCGUUACUUGGAACAAUGAGGUUGAGCAUGAUUCAAAUCCUGAAUUAAAUGCAAAUCUAGCAGCAGAAAAAUGGAUUUAGUGGUAUGACAGGAUUUGAAAUAUAAAUAUAUUGCAUUAAAUAUAAAGUUCAAUUAAAUAAAUGAAUAUUGUAAGGGCUGCCAUUCAAGCUAGCAUUGUAUCUGUGACUAAUUAAACAUGUGCACUGUGAGAACAGUGGAGAUCACAUGCUGGUGCCUUUGGAAGCACACACAAUAUAUAUUUUUGCUUAAUUUUGGACAAAUGGUCAACCUCUGCAAAAGAGAGAUGUCCUUUUUUUCAGUCAGCAAUGCCGGUUUUGAUGCCACAAAUAUUUAACUUUGUGAUUGAAAUUGUGAAGUCUUUCUCCAGAACAGAUUUACCACAGGACUAUUGCAUUAUUUCUUUGAACUUCAAAACAGAAGAAGAACAGAUUUCACAUCAUAUCAGCAGCCAGAUAAGUACAAUCUUAAUUGCAAUAUCCAUGUGGAACAACUUUAAAACUUUAUGGCUGUAUGGUCCUUUGUGCUAACGUGGAUCAGAGUAAAACACAAAGGAGUUGGGCUCCAAACCUGGGGCAAUAUUCCUACAUUUCUGCUUGUUAAUGUUGCAAUUGCCCCUACAAUUCUUAGUUGCAUGGGGGAAAAAAUGGUGCUGCUAUUUUCCUAUUCUUUUAAUGGGGAAAGGGAUUUUUGUUUGUUUUGUUUGCUUUUUGUAAGAAAUACUACUUUAUACAUAUACAAGGAAAUUCAAAUAAUUAAUUGAUGUUUAGAAACACAGAAGACCAUUGUGAUUUCUUUUCAGUGCAAGCAAAUAAAUCCCAUAGAUACAGAAAAUGUACUCCUGAGGAAACAAAUGGCCCAUUUUCAUUAUGCCAAACAACUUUCUUGACAACUUGACAACAUUUGCUGAACAAGAUUUUGGCAAUAGAAUGCUUUAAAAGGCAUUUUACAAGGCUAUACAAUUCAAACUAUUUACUCUUAAGUGAAGUAUUAGUAGCAACUAGGAAGUAAGGGAAGAGAAGAAAAAUGUUUCUUCUGUACGAAUCCCUUUGUUUCACUGCUGACAAGGGAAGUGAGUGCAAGCAGGUCGGAAUUGCUGGGACUGCACAAAACCAGCACCUUUGCCACAGCCAUAUGAGAAUUGGAGACAAAAAUAUAAUUGCUCAACAUUUCCUGAAUCAUAACAACAGGUCAUGACUAAAUACUGGUCUCCUCUAAUUUAAACUCAAGGAGAGCCACAUACUUGGAUUUAAGUACAAAUUCAAACCUUUAGAUUUAGCUUGUCUUUCUUCUAAGUAAUUCUGUAUUUUCUUUAAUGCCUCUUCUCAAGUAGAAAUAGAUAGUGAAAUCAAAACUGACUCAUGGAGUCCUAGGGAAGGCAAGAUUCUGCUUGCAAUGCUUUAAAAUUUAGUGGAAAACUUCCUAAAUAUCAGUGACAUUUCCAAAAGUGCUGAAGAGUUCUGCUGUGGGAUAUAAAGGUAACUAUCUUGGUUUUAGCUCAUCUCUCUUUCAAAGAUAUUUAUCUGAAACUUUGAACAAAUUUGCAGCCCCUAAGAUAGACAAAAUACUGAUAACUGUCCAGGAUUAAGUAAUGCAAAACUAGGCAUGAUUUUCUUUGAAGGUCAUAAAAAUUUUAAUGUUGCAAAUAAAUAAUAUGACCCAUUUCUUUAUUUGAAAUUAAUUAUAAUAUUUAAUAUAUUCAGCAUACACCACUAGAAAAAGUUAUCUGCUCUUUGGAUAGAUGGGUUCUCUUGUAACACAAAGAAAUGCUAAUAAUGCUGAUCCUAAAAAGAAAUGGUUUAAAAAAUGACACAGUUGAAAUUUGAAAAUAAAUGUGUUCAGGUUUCCACUUAU